UCAAGGUAGUAAGGGCACAUGGUGGAUGCCUUGGCAUCAGGCGGCGAUGAAGGACGUGGCAGGCUACGAAAAUCCACGGGGAGCUGCGAGCGAGCGUAGAUCCGUGGGAGUCCGAAUGGGGCAACCUGUGUAGCGAAGAGCUACACAUCAUAUACUGAACACAUAGGUAUAUGAGGCGAACCUCCUGAAGUGAAACAUCUCAGUAGGGAGAGGAGAAGAAAUCAAAAGAGAUUCCCUUAGUAGCGGCGAGCGAAGGGGGAGGAGCCCAAACCCCGCACUUACUUGAGGAAACGGAGAUAGGAUAUUUUUAAGUAGUAGUUUUUAUUUAGUUUUUUCAAGUAAGUGCGGGGGGUUGUAGGACCGCAUAAGUACCACACUAUACAUAUAACCGAACUGGCAUGGAAAGGCUGUCCGAAGAAGGUGAUAGACCUGUAGGUGAAAUAUGCGUAGUAGGGAAGCGGUAUCCUGAGUACCACGGGACACGAGGAAUCCUGUGGGAAGCAGGGGAGACCACUCUCCAAGGCUAAAUACGACCUGAUGACCGAUAGUGGACGAGUACCGUGAGGGAAAGGCGAAAAGAACCCUGGCGAAGGGAGUGAAAUAGAACCUGAAACCGUGUGCUUACAAGUAAUCGGAGCACAGCAAUGUGUGACGGUGUACCUUUUGAUUAAUGGGCCAGCGAGUUACUGGCUGCAGCGUGGUUAAGUGCUUAAGGCAUGGAGCCGUAGGGAAACCGAGUCUUAAAAGGGCGAUUAGUUGCAGUCAGUGGACCCGAAACCAGGUGAUCUACCCAUGGUCAGGAUGAAGCGGAGGUAAGACUUCGUGGAGGUCCGAACCGGUGUUUGUUGCAAAAAGCUCGGAUGAACUGUGGGUAGGGGUGAAAGGCCAAUCAAACCUGGUGAUAGCUGGUUCUCCCCGAAAUGUAUUUAGGUACAGCCUCUGGAUAGUUACAGGGGGGUAGGGCACUGAAUGGGCUAGGGCCACGUGGGUGGUACCAAACCCAAUCAAACCACGAAUACCCUGUUAAUGUUUCUGGGGAGUGAGACUAUGGGUGCUAAGAUCCGUGGUCGAGAGGGAAAAAGCCCAGACCGUCAGCUAAGGUCCCCAAGAUAGUGCUAAGUGGUAAAGGAUGUGGUAUUGCUCAGACAGCCAGGAUGUUGGCUUAGAAGCAGCCAUCAUUUAAAGAAAGCGUAACAGCUCACUGGUCGAGUGGCACCGCGCCGAAAAUUUAACGGGGCUCAAGCACUACACCGAAGCUACGGAUAACGACAGGUUAAGAUUGAGGUUAAGGUUAAGUAAGGAAAAAUUCUCAGCCUCAACCUUAGCCUUAACCUGUCGUUGUGGUAGGGGAGCAUUCUGCAGACCUGAGAAGAUUAACCGUGAGGUUAGUUGGAGGGAGCAGAAGAGACAAUGCUGGCAUAAGUAGCGCAAAGGCUGAUGAGAAGUCAGCCCGCCGUAAACCUAAGGUUUCCCGGGCAAGGGAAAUCCGCCCGGGGUUAGUCGGUCCUAAGAUGAGGCUGGGAAGCGUAGUCGAUGGACAGCAGGUUAAUAUUCCUGCACCAUCUUUGUAGCGUUUGACUGAAGGGGGGACGCAGGAGGAUAGUCUGGGCCUGGUGAUGGUUCAGGUACAAGCGUUUAGGCUUAAAUAGCAGGCAAACCCGCUAUUUUAUAAGGCUGAGGCGUGAUGUGCAAGCCCGUAAGGGUGAACUCAGAUGAUUCCACGCUGACGAGAAAAACCUCGUAGGGAGCUACAGGGGUGACCGUACCGCAAACCGACACAGGUAGGUGGGUAGAAGAUACCAAGGCGGACGAGAUAACUCUCGCUAAGGAACUCGGCAAAAUAGCCCCGUAACUUAGGGAUAAGGGGUUCCUGGCAACAGGAGGCACUAAAGAGGCCCAAGCGACUGUUUACCAAAAACACAGGAGCCUGCUAACUUGUAAGAGGAUGUAUAGGCUCUGACGCCUGCCCGGUGCCGGAAGGUUAAUAGGAGAGGUCAUCUGCAAGGAGAAGCCUUGAAUUGAAGCCCCGGUAAACGGCGGCCGUAACUAUAACGGUCCUAAGGUAGCGAAAUUCCUUGUCGGGUAAGUUCCGACCUGCACGAAUGGCGUAACGACUUGGGCGCUGUCUCGGCGAGAGACUCGGCGAACUUAAGAUACCGGUGAAGACGCCGGUUACCUGCAGCUAGACGGAAAGACCCCGUGCACCUUUACUACAACUUGGCAGUGAGUUUUGGUGAUGUAUGUGUAGGAUAGGUGGGAGACAAUGAAGUAGGGGCGCUAGUCUCUAUGGAGUCGUCCUUGAAAUACCACCCUUACAUUACUGGGACUCUAACCUACACCCAUGAACUGGGUGGGGGACAUUGUCUGGUGGGUAGUUUGACUGGGGCGGUCGCCUCCCAAAGAGUAACGGAGGCGUCCAAAGGUUCCCUCAGGCUGGACGGAAACCAGCCGUUGAGUGCAAAGGCAUAAGGGAGCUUGACUGUGAGGCUGACGAGCCGAGCAGGAACGAAAGUUGGGCUUAGUGAUCCGGUGGCACUGAGUGGAAGGGCCAUCGCUCAACGGAUAAAAGGUACGCCGGGGAUAACAGGCUUAUCGCGUCCAAGAGUUCACAUCGACGACGCGGUUUGGCACCUCGAUGUCGACUCAUCGCAUCCUGGGGCUGAAGUAGGUCCCAAGGGUUCGGCUGUUCGCCGAUUAAAGCGGUACGUGAGUUGGGUUCAGAACGUCGUGAGACAGUUCGGUCCCUAUCUGCUGUAGGCGCAGGAGACUUGAGGGGGGCUGUCCUUAGUACGAGAGGACCGGGAUGGACAGACCUCUAAUGUUCCGGUUGUCAUGCCAGUGGCAAUGCCGGGUAGUUAUGUCUGGACGGGAUAACCGCUGAAGGCAUCUAAGCGGGAAGCCCACCCCAAGAUUAGGUCUCCCUGCUCGAAAGAGCACUAAAGGUCAGUGGUAGACUACCACUUUGAUAGGCUGGAGGUGUAAGCACAGUAAUGUGUUCAGCUUACCAGUACUAAUAGACCGUGUGCCUUGACCUU
rnacentral:rRNA from 1 species